GAUGAAGAACGCAGCGAAAUGCGAUACGUAAUGUGAAUUGCAGAAUUCAGUGAAUCAUCGAAUCUUUGAACGCAUAUUGCGCUCUCUGGUAUUCCGGAGAGCAUGCUUGUUUGAGUAUCAGUAAACACCUCAACUUCCAUAUCUUUUUUGAAAUGGGAGUUGGACUUGAGUGAUCCCAACGCUUUUCCUCACCGAAAAGUGGCGGGUUACUUGAAAUGCAGGUGCAGCUGGACUUUUCUCUGAGCUAUAAGCAUAUCUAUUUAGUCUGCCUAAAAACAGAUUAUUACCUUUGCUGCAGCUAACAUAAAGGAGAUUAGUUCUUGUGCUGACUGAUGCAGGAUUCACAAAGACAGCUUCGGCCGACUUUGUAAACUCGAUCUCAAAUCAAGUAAGACUACCCGCUGAACUUAAGCAUAUCAAUAAGCGGAGGA
rnacentral:misc_RNA from 1 species